AAUCAUAUCUUAACCCUAAACUGUCAGCUGCAAAUUGAAAUGCUCAUCUCUGGCUAUAAUUUUGGCUGAAAGGGGAAUGAAAGUGAUGUUGAGCUCCUGGAGGACACUGUGGACACAUAAUGUGAAUUAAUGACCUUCGACUGGACCUCGGUAGAUCAUUGUGCAGAAGCUCAUCACUCAACUUAAUCCACGAACUCGCCAAAGGUCAAUGGUGACUACAAAGUCUAUAGGAACCUUCUGCUUUGUCAUGAUGAGUGACAGAGAGAGAGAGACAGAGUGUGAGCAGGGGAGGAACAGAGAGAGAGGAAGACACAGAAUUCAAAGCAACUCCAGUCUCCAGGCUGUCAGCACAGAGCCCAACGCAGGGCUGGAGCUCAGAAACGGCAAGGUCAUGACCUGAGUCAAAGUCUGAUGCUCAACUGACUGAGCCACCCAGGCGUCCCUUCUUCUAUUUUUGGCUAAGUUGUUUUGUUUUUUUGUUUGUUUGUUUGUUUGUUUUUUGGCAACCAUCUGCUGAUCAGAGUUCCAUGCA